UUAACGUUAGGGUAUAGUAAAUUGAGAAGUUCGGUUGGGUUUACUCUGAUGAUUAGAAUUUAAAACUGAACUCAAUCUGAAUAGGGAAUAUAUAUUUUACAAAGGCGGGCAGAUUUGUGUCUAUAGCCAAGCAAUGGAAUUGCUAGACACUCAAUGGGGCUAUAUAGUGCAACGCUUUGGACUAUAAAUUAGGUAAGAAUAGUUUAAUCGUAAGAAGUUGUGAUUGUUUUUCUGAUUAUUGAUUUUUGGUUAAGGUAACAACAGUGAAUUUGAACAAAAAGUAACGUAUUCUAAAAAUGAUCUGAUUUCCGUUCCCGUUGCGGGGAACAAAGGAAAAGUCUUAUCUUAAAGGGACAGUGCACGGUAAUCACAGUGGUUUGAGUGUAUGACAGUGGAAAAAAUAUUGUGGGACGACAAUUUGAAGAUAGAAAAAAUAAGUUACAUGAUACAUCAAGAGAUUUAAAACAAACGAUGUGAAGGGAUUAUCAGAAUUAUUGGGUGUCGUUGUAGUAGUAAAAGUUUGGGUUAAGGGGAUUUCCCUGUUCCCAGUGACAAGGUAUUUUAAAGGUGUACACUCACAUAGGGGGUGGUAAAUUAUAAUUCAGGAUUUGAACAGAUGUGAUAAAUUAGGUUUGGUUAAUCGAACAAUAAUUAUUUACAAUUCAUUUAAAGUCGCUACGAAUUGGCAGGUUGAGCGCUUGAUGAUGACGUCACUAGCGAGGCACUUUUGUCGUCAGGGACUGGGGAUAACGGAGCAAAUUAUAUGUCUGUUAGUGUGUGUAUUGAUGUUUCGAGUAACUUUUCAGAAGUUGAUAUGAUUACAAAAUACAUUUUUAACAGUAAUUUGAGAGUUGCCAGGAUAGUCGGGAAAGAUGCUAAAAACGAUCAGCUGAUACCUAGGAAGGCAUCAAGUUUUAUGCCCAGCAGGAGAACUACAGAGGGAGGUGGCACACGAGAUUCAACCAGGAGACUGGAUCUGGAUCCAAUCACUAAAAAGAAAAAAAAAGUGGAAGCAGCCUCGGUGGGAGGGACCAUUCCAAGUACUACUGGUGACUGCCUUCGCUGUGAGAAUAGCCGAAAGAGCUACCUGGGUGCAUAUCACACAUUGUAAGAGGGUGAGUCACACAGCACUGUCGGACGUUCGCAGGAGUUGGAGAGGAACCGUGACCCAUAUGGAACGGGGGUCAAACUCCUUCUGAAGAUUCCCUAUACCUGACCUUUCCCCAGCUGUGAGCGUUCAUAGAAGUGAAGUGAUGGCUUGGCCUCUGGCUGUUGAUAUGUUCUCGGGGAGAGGGUGGGGCUUCACGUGUGCACUGACCGUCCUGAGCUGUUUUAUUGUGGGGGCCAUAUUCCUGAUUCACCAUGAUCCCCCGGAAAGUGCCAAAGAGGAUAAUUUGACUCAUGUGCUAGAUGAGGGAAAUGGGAUGUUACCUAAGAUUCUCAAAAGGUCACUGAAACAAAAUAGUAAGGAAGUGAGGGUGGAAUUGGGCAAGGAUCUCUCAGUAGAAUUUUGUGUAGACCAAUUGGGGUCAUUCACCCCUUGGCAGUCUAGAACCAUGGGACUCUAUGGGAAGUAUUUGUGUAAAUCACCGUGUAAGUCGUGGAGCCAGGUCAUAGCUCACACUGAAAGGGAUGGCUACGUAAACCCAUACACUCAAUUUGGGACCAGGUGGAGUAUAGUAAGGGUUGGCGUUUUGGACUGUGUUCCCGAGCAAAGGAAGUAUUGUAUAAAGGUGCGAACUAACAUUAAGGCGGUCAAUACUCAGGACCUCGGUUAUAGUAUGUGGGCUUCGACCAGUUAAGUUAUAGAGGUGGAGACUGGGUUUGGGGAGUCCAACUUAUGGUUGGAAUGGAUUCAAUAUACGGCCAGAUCAGUGGCUAAAGAAGAAUGUUAUGUCUGUGAGAACGCUAAACCCCAGUUAACAACUAUCCCUAUCCCACUGAACGGAAUUAAUUCCCCUAAGGGAAUGGCAUGUAUGGUAAAGCAGGAAUGCCAGAUAAUGACAGUUGUAAAAUGGGCCAGUGUCGCCAUCUGGUGGUUGUGCGGGGGAAUGAGUUUGACUGAUUGGACUGGUUAGGAAUGCAUUUUACACUCAUACAACACCAAGACAUGAAGUUAGCCAAACAAGAGAAAAGAGAUGCUCCAUCUGGGUCUUUUGACGACAGAGUAUAUAUUGAUAACAUUGGGGUUCCACGAGAGGUGCCGGAUGAGUUCAAGGCAAGAAAUCAGAUACUAGCAGGAUUAGAGUGGUCUACUCUCAAUAAGAAUGUAGACUGGAUUAAUUAUAGUUACCAGAAGGGUUAUUAAAUGGUUUGUAGAACAGACUGAAGCAAUCAGCUGGAAGACCUGACAGAACAGAAUUGCAUUAGAUAAAAGGAGAAAGUGGGCGUGGUAAUCGGGACCGUGUCUUACAUCCCAGGUAGCACAGCUCCGGACGAAUCAGUGCCCGAAGCCUCAGCUGUUUUGACCACCCUGGCUCACAGAUUGGCAGAAACUCUGGGGUGGAUACUUCUCUGAACUAAAUUGGGUAGACAGUAUUUAUGGAAAAAUGUGCUGUUAUGGGCCACUUUAACCGGUGUGACUGUGUUAGUCUUGUACGUACGUGGUUGAUUGCGUGUAUGUAUGAAAGUUAUUGUUUCCAGGACUCUGGAAAGAUCAAUGACCCAACAGAUGGUGCGUUAUGGGCCGAUUCCAGAUUCUGACCUGUGGAGGACUGAAGGCAUGUCUACAGAGGAAGUGGACGAAUCCGGAUCUGUCAUUUGUGGGGAAUUUAUGUUUGAUGAGGCUAGUGUUGAGAUAAAGGGGAAUUAGAUUGUAAUUGGUUUCCAUGAUUAAACUGUUUUUUUUAAUGAAGGUCGUGACGAAAAUCCGGAAGGAAGAGUUAUGAUUCUGAUGUAGAUUUAAAAACAGUUGGAGUUAAGGUUAGAAUUGAUUAAUGAAAUGUGGAGAGUUGGAUAAACAUUUAUAAUUGAUUUGUUUAUUUGUCUAUUCAUAUGAUAAUCUGAUAAACCUCUAUAAAAAGGUUAAUUAAGUUCGUUUAUACUUUCAUUUUUUAUGAUUAAAUAAAACUAGAUGUAGAAUUGAAUGUAUAAUAUUUGAUCAAAGGGUGGAUUGAUAGAGGAAAAUAUAGUUUAGAUGAUCAAUUAUGUAUACAUUAAUGAUUAGAACCAUUUAUGCUAAUACUAUUAUGUUAUGAUUUGAAAAGUAUGGGUUCUUAAUUGUACUGUUACUGAAAAUGUAAGCAGAAAUGAAUUGUGUCUGUGUCUACUGGGAAUGUUAGGGAGGGAUGCUGUGGCUUUUCAGACAGAUAAGAAAUGCCUGGGAAAAUGUUCCAUUCCUAAAACAAUGGGUUCUUGUGAGAAUCGGAGAGAGGGGGUGUAACUGAUGACGUCAUUUUAUGUCUUCUUCCUUUAAAAUGUAAUGAUCUUUGUAUUUUGGGUCAGUACUCAUCAAGAAUAAAUGCUGAACUUGUUUUUAAGACUGGUCUCGUGCUAAUUCAUGCAAAUGAUAAACUUACAACUUAUCAUGAAUUAGAAAUGAGUGUGAAUUUAAUUGGUUUUGGCAAUUAAACAUAAAGGAAUUCAGAAUUCCUCUAUCAGCACCCCAUUAUUUUUAUUUCUACUUUGCACAUUCUUCCAUUGCAAAACUACCAUUCCAGUGUUUUACUUGCUAUAUUGUAUUUACUUUGCCACCAUGGCCUUUUUUUGCCUUUACCUCCCUUCUCACCUCAUUUGCUCACAUUGUAUAUAGACUUGUUUAUACUGUAUUAUUGACUGUAUGUUUGUUUUACUCCAUGUGUAACUCUGUGUCGUUGUAUCUGUUGAACUGCUUUGCUUUAUCUUGGUCAGGUCGCAAUUGUAAAUUAGAACUUGUUCUCAACUUGCCUACCUGGUUAAAUAAAGGUGAAAUAAAUAAAAAAUGUGCAAAAACCUUCCUCAA